rnacentral:rRNA from 1 species
UGGGGAAUUUUGCACAAUGGGGGAAACCCUGAUGCAGCGACGCCGCGUGAUUUAGAAGGCCUUCGGGUUGUAAAAAUCUUUUGUAUGGGAAGAAAAUGACAGUACCAUUCGAAUAAGGACCGGCUAAUUCCGUGCCAGCAGCCGCGGUAAUACGGAAGGUCCAGGCGUUAUCCGGAUUUAUUGGGUUUAAAGGGAGUGUAGGCGGUUGGUUAAGCGUGUUGUGAAAUGUAGAUGCUCAACAUCUGACUUGCAGCGCGAACUGGCUGACUUGAGUACACACAACGUAGGCGGAAUUCAUGGUGUAGCGGUGAAAUGCUUAGAUAUCAUGAAGAACUCCGAUUGCGAAGGCAGCUUACGGGAGUGUUACUGACGCUUAAGCUCGAAGGUGCGGGUAUCGAACAGG